rnacentral:rRNA from 1 species
AGACGUCUACAUUAGAUACCCCCGUAGUCCCAGCCGUAAACGAUGCGCGUUUAGGUGUAUCGACGACCACGAGUCGUCGAGGUGCCGAAGGGAAACCGUGAAACGUGCCGCCUGGGAAGUACGGUCGCAAGGCUGAAACUUAAAGGAAUUGGCGGGGGAGCACCACAACAGGUGGAGCCUGCGGUUUAAUUGGACUCAACGCCGGACAACUCACCGGGAACGACAGCAAUAUGUAGGCCAGGCUGAAGACCUUGCCUGAAUCGCUG